rnacentral:rRNA from 1 species
UACGGAGGGAGCUAGCGUUGUUCGGAAUUACUGGGCGUAAAGCGCGCGUAGGCGGCUUUGUAAGUUAGAGGUGAAAGCCCGGGGCUCAACUCCGGAAUUGCCUUUAAGACUGCAUCGCUAGAAUCCGGGAGAGGUGAGUGGAAUUCCGAGUGUAGAGGUGAAAUUCGUAGAUAUUGGGAAGAACACCAGUGGCGAAGGCGGCUCACUGGCUCGGUACUGACGCUGAGGCGCGAAAGCGUGGGGAGCAAACAGG